rnacentral:rRNA from 1 species
AGGCUUAACACAUGCAAGUCGAGGGGAAACGACAUCGAAAGCUUGCUUUUGAUGGGCGUCGACCGGCGCACGGGUGAGUAACGCGUAUCCAACCUGCCCACCACUUGGGGAUAACCUUGCGAAAGUAAGACUAAUACCCAAUGAUAUCUCUAGAAGACAUCUGAAAGAGAUUAAAGAUUUAUCGGUGAUGGAUGGGGAUGCGUCUGAUUAGCUUGUUGGCGGGGUAACGGCCCACCAAGGCGACGAUCAGUAGGGGUUCUGAGAGGAAGGUCCCCCACAUUGGAACUGAGACACGGUCCAAACUCCUACGGGAGGCAGCAGUGAGGAAUAUUGGUCAAUGGGCGAGAGCCUGAACCAGCCAAGUAGCGUGCAGGAUGACGGCCCUAUGGGUUGUAAACUGCUUUUAUAAGGGAAUAAAGUGAGUCUCGUGAGACUUUUUGCAUGUACCUUAUGAAUAAGGACCGGCUAAUUCCGUGCCAGCAGCUGCGGUAAUACGGAAGGUCCGGGCGUUAUCCGGAUUUAUUGGGUUUAAAGGGAGCGUAGGCCGGAGAUUAAGCGUGUUGUGAAAUGUAGAUGCUCAACAUCUGAACUGCAGCGCGAACUGGUUUCCUUGAGUACGCACAAAGUGGGCGGAAUUCGUGGUGUAGCGGUGAAAUGCUUAGAUAUCACGAAGAACUCCGAUUGCGAAGGCAGCUCACUGGAGCGCAACUGACGCUGAAGCUCGAAAGUGCGGGUAUCGAACAGGAUUAGAUACCCUGGUAGUCCGCACGGUAAACGAUGGAUGCCCGCUGUUGGUCUGAAUAGGUCAGCGGCCAAGCGAAAGCAUUAAGCAUCCCACCUGGGGAGUACGCCGGCAACGGUGAAACUCAAAGGAAUUGA